rnacentral:lncRNA from 1 species
UGUUGGUUCUCCUCACCAAUUGGGCGAUGUGGUUUGAGGAUUUAAGGUUGAGUUGCAUGUGAGACGUCCUUCACCUUGAGCCUGACAAAGCGCGGCAUAUCCGCGGUUGAUUGACUCAAGACCGAGUCGAGUGACAUAGUUGGCUAAGGUAAAGUAACUUUAGGAAAGAUUGGUUAGUGCUAAAGAAUAGAGAAUAGUAAAGAAUGGCAACGAAUAAAGAACGGUUAAUGCUAAGGAAAAGCAAAUAAUAAAGAACGGCUAAGAAUUAAAGAAAGGCAAGUGAAAAAAAGUAGAAUUAGUUAAUCUACUUGCAUAAGUUGCAUGUAUUUGCAUAGUUGCAUUUGUGAGGCAUGAACAUGAAUUAUAUGAUGUCAUAUAUAUAUAUAUCUGUUGGACUAACAUGUUUGCAUUGCCUCCUUUGGACCUGGUGGGUCGAGCUCUUUCCUUGGGUGGCCGUACCCACUGGAAACUAUGGACAAUAGUUCUCACCCCCCGUGUUGUUUUUGGGGGUACAGGUUCACACGUGAGCAGCGUGGCUGCGCGAGGCCAGGGCGUAACUCUAUAGUUAGCGCCCUACCACCGAGACCAGAGAUAGUGGUACCCUGAGUCGGCUACUUAGGGAUGUAAGAAAGAAAAAAAUCAAGUUGUAAUAAUUAUGUUAAAAUUGGAUUGUAUUUGGAAGUUAAAAAGAGUUAAAAAUGUAAGAUAAUAUGUGAUGUAAAAUGUAUGUGAGUUGUAUGCUUGUAAUAGCAUAGCUGCAUUUAUGUUUUCGAUACUUUCCUUAUGCAAUCUAUGGUUGUAUGUUGUUCCUGGUUGGAACCUCACGCUUU